UAAUGGGAUAGAAGCCUUAUUUUAAAUCAGCUCUGUUGAAAUGACAGCAUAGCUAUUUUGUGAUUCAAGCUGUGAUGUAAUAAGAGGUACAUCCAUUGGCUACAUCCAAAGUUCCUACUCAAUGAAGAUUCCCUGAGACAGAAACCAAAGACUCUUGAGUUCCCAUGGCUUGAUGCUCUGGGACAAAGCCUACUAAGCUGGUACUUUUCUAGUCAAACCAUGUCUAGUGACAACAUAUUUGAAUAACC